AAUGCCAGCUGAUGAAGACCGAGAGGCCGCGACCCAACACCUUUGUCAUACGCUGCCUGCAGUGGACCACAGUCAUCGAGAGGACCUUCCACGUGGAUUCUCCAGACGAGAGGGAGGAGUGGAUGCGGGCCAUCCAGAUGGUCGCCAAUAGCCUCAAGCAGCGGGCCCCAGGCGAGGACCCCAUGGACUACAAGUGUGGCUCCCCCAGUGACUCCUCCACGGCUGAGGAGAUGGAAGUGGCGGUCAGCAAGGCACGGGCUAAAGUGACCAUGAAUGACUUCGACUAUCUCAAACUCCUUGGCAAGGGAACCUUUGGCAAAGUCAUCCUGGUGCGGGAGAAGGCCACUGGCCGCUACUACGCCAUGAAGAUCCUGCGGAAGGAAGUCAUCAUUGCCAAGGUGCGUGCCCCGGGCACUGCGUUCGCUGGCCUCUGUGGGGGCUGCGGUCUGGAGGCUGACCCUGAGGCCUGGAUGCUUACCCACGCUUUCUGCUGCCGUGGGCAUAUUUCCCCCACAAAUUCCCCCUAGUCAGAAAAGGGUGAGCCUUAGGCCCAGAGAGGAGCAGCAGGCCUUGCUGCUGAGUCCCCACCUCCACCCUCUGGUGGGGGCUGAGGGUGCCUGUGGAGAGAGAGCCUCGGGGUCCCACCCAGCAGGUACUGUCAAGGGAGGCUGGGGCCUGUUGGGGAGGCUGUGAGGAUGUUGCUGUUGGGGAGACCAGGGCUCUGCUCAGGGUAUUCCAGGUAGAGGCCGGGCCAGGAAUGGAAUUCUAGUUUUUCCCUUAUUUGAAUUUUUUGUAGUGGAAGAUUCCAAAGACAUUCAAAAAUUUAAAAAGAAAAUAAAUAUUACGGACCCCCAUGUAGCCAUUGUCCAGUUUAACCAGUUAUCAGCGUUUAGCCAGCCUUGUUUCCUUAGCUCUGCCUGUCCCUCUUGUUCUGGAAUACUUUAAGGCCUGUCCUAGACA
rnacentral:sRNA from 1 species